GGUCUGGUGGUGUAGCGGUAACACGUCCUAAAUAAUAACAGUGUUGGAGGAGGUACCUUUGUUCGAGUCGAGGCUAGACCG